GCUGGGACACCUCAGUUGGCAGAGCAUGAGACUCUUAAUCUCAGGAUUGUGGGUUUGAGCCCCAUGUUGGGCG